AACGAACGCUGGCGGCAGGCCUAACACAUGCAAGUCGAGCGAGGACUUCGGUCCUAGCGGCGGACGGGUGAGUAACGCGUGGGAACGUGCCCUUUGCUUCGGAAUAGCCCUGGGAAACUGGGAGUAAUACCGGAUGAGCCCUUUGGGGGAAAGAUUUAUCGGCGAAGGAUCGGCCCGCGUUGGAUUAGGUAGUUGGUGGGGUAAUGGCCUACCAAGCCGACGAUCCAUAGCUGGUUUGAGAGGAUGAUCAGCCACACUGGGACUGAGACACGGCCCAGACUCCUACGGGGGGCAGCAGUGGGGAAACUUAGACAAGGGGGGAAGCCCUAAUCUAGCCAUGCCGCGUGAGCGAUGAAGGCCUUAGGGUUGUAAAGCUCUUUCAGCUGGGAAGAUAAUGACGGUACCAGCAGAAGAAGCCCCGGCUAACUCCGU
rnacentral:rRNA from 1 species